rnacentral:rRNA from 1 species
GCGAAAGCAUUCAUCAAUUACAUUCCCGUUAAUCAAGAACGAAAGUUAGAGUAGCAAAGGCCAUUAGAUGCAGCUGUAGUUUUAACCAUAAACGAUGACAUCUCAGGAUAUCAUUGAUGAUCUGUUUAAUGUUGUAUAUGGGUUCGCCCCACUAUAUAAUAUUGCUAGUAUAGAUCUUGUUUAUUGAAUUUGUUAAAGUAAUUUAACAAUUCGUUUUAGACCAGUGGUGCACUGUGUGGGAAACCAACAGCUGUCUUCGUGGAGUGUAUGUUAGCAAUGAUGAAAUUUAAAAGAAUUGACGGAAGUAUCACCACCAGGAGUGGAUCGUGCGGCUUAAUUUGACUCAACGCGGGAAAUUUUACCAGGGCAGGACACCAUGAGGAUUGACAAACUGCAGCUCUUUCAAGAUUUUGUGUAUGUUAAAUGUAGUGCAUGGCCUUUGGGAAGUGAGUGGAUUG